CGGCUUAAGAAGCGUUUGAGUGCAAAUCAAAUGAUGGGCUUAAGUGGCCCUUAGGCCU
rnacentral:tRNA from 1 species